GCCCUAGUAACGGCGAGCGAAGCGGCAAAAGCUCAAAUUUGAAAUCUGGCGUGUUUUUUACGCGUCCGAGUUGUAAUUUGAAGAUGGUAACUUUGGAGGCGGCCCUUGCAUAUGUUCCUUGGAAUAGGACGUCAUAGAGGGUGAGAACCCCGUAUAUGGCGAGGUGCCCGUCUCUAUGUAAAGUGCUGUCUAAGAGUCGAGUUGUUUGGGAAUGCAGCUCUAAGUGGGUGGUAAAUUCCAUCUAAGGCUAAAUAUAGGCGAGAGACCGAUAGCGAACAAGUACAGUGAUGGAAAGAUGAAAAGAACUUUGAAAAGAGAGUGAAAAAGUACGUGAAAUUGCUGAAAGGGAAGGGCUUGAGAUCAGACUUGGUUUGUAGUGAUCAACUGUCUUUCGGGACUGUGCACUCGCUACUUGCUAGGCCAGCAUCAGUUCUGGCGGUAGGAAAAUAGCGGUUGAAUGUGGCUCUGCUUCGGUGGAGUGUUAUAGCUUCCGUUGAUACUGCCAGCCGGGACUGAGGACCGCGCUUCGUGCUAGGAUGCUGGCGUAAUGAUCUUAAGCCACCCGUCUUGAAACACGGACCAAGGAGUCUAACGUCUAUGCGAGUGUUUGGGUGUAAAACCCGUACGCGUAAUGAAAGUGAACGUAGAGGAGAACCCUUACGGGUGCAUCCUCGACCGAUCCAGAGGUUUCUUCUGAAGGAUUUGAGUAAGAGCAUAGCUGUUGGGACCCGAAAGAUGGUGAACUAUGCCUGAAUAGGGUGAAGCCAGAGGAAACUCUGGUGGAGGCUCGUAGCGGUUCUGACGUGCAAAUCGAUCGUAAAAUUUGGGUAUAGGGGCGAA
rnacentral:rRNA from 1 species